CCUACGGGCGGCAGCAGUGGGGAAUAUUGCACAAUGGGGGAAACCCUGACGCAGCAACGCCGCGUGGGUGAUGAAGCGCUUCGGCGCGUAAAGCUCUGUCAGCGGGGAAGAAGAAUGACGGUACUCGUCCACGGUGCCUUGGCUAACCACGCGCCAGCAGCAGCGGUAAUACGGAGGGGGCGAGCGUUAUCCGGAAUUACUGGGGGUAAAGGGAGCGUAGGCGGUGUGGUAAGCCAGCAGUGGAAGCCCGCGGCCCAACCGCGGAACUGCUUUGGAAACUGGUUUGCUGGAGUGUGGGAGGGGAGAGUGGAAUUCCUGGUGUAGCAGUGAAAUGCGUAGAUAUCAGGAGGAACACCAGUGGCGAAGGCGACUUACUGGAACAUAACUGACGUUGAGGCGCGAAAGCGUGGGGAGCAAACAGGAUUAGAUACCCUAGUAGUC
rnacentral:rRNA from 1 species